rnacentral:rRNA from 1 species
GACGAACCGUGCGAACGUUGUUCGGAAUCACUGGGCUUAAAGGGCGCGUAGGCGGCAUAGCAAGUCCGGGGUGAAAGCCCUCGGCUCAACCGGGGAAGUGCCUUGGAAACUGCUGUGCUCGAGGGAGGUAGGGGUCGAGGGAACUUCUGGUGGAGCGGUGAAAUGCGUUGAUAUCAGAAGGAACGCCGGUGGCGAAAGCGGCUCACUGGACCGGUACUGACGCUGAUGCGCGAAAGCUAGGGGAGCAAACAGG